GAUGAACGCUGGCGGCGUGCCUAAUACAUGCAAGUCGAGCGAACAGACGAGGAGCUUGCUCCUCUGACGUUAGCGGCGGACGGGUGAGUAGCACGUGGAUAACCUACCUAUAAGACUGGGAUAACUUCGGGAAACCGGAGCUAAUACCGGAUAAUAUAUUGAACCGCAUGGUUCAAUAGUGAAAGACGGUUUUGCUGUCACUUAUAGAUGGAUCCGCGCCGCAUUAGCUAGUUGGUAAGGUAACGGCUUACCAAGGCAACGAUGCGUAGCCGACCUGAGAGGGUGAUCGGCCACACUGGAACUGAGACACGGUCCAGACUCCUACGGGAGGCAGCAGUAGGGAAUCUUCCGCAAUGGGCGAAAGCCUGACGGAGCAACGCCGCGUGAGUGAUGAAGGUCUUCGGAUCGUAAAACUCUGUUAUUAGGGAAGAACAAAUGUGUAAGUAACUAUGCACGUCUUGACGGUACCUAAGCAGAAAGCCACGGCUAACUACGU
rnacentral:rRNA from 1 species